rnacentral:lncRNA from 1 species
CUCUGAGAUGCACUCAAAACUUAUCAAAGCCCCUCGGUACAUAGUUGUAUAUUCUUCGUUGUGGGUCCUUCUAGUUGUGGCAUGUGGGACGCUGCCUCAGCGUAGUUCAAUGAGCAGUGCCAUGUCCGCGCCCAGGAUUCGAACCAACGAAACACUGGGCCGCCUGCAGCGGAGCGCGCGAACUUAACGACUCAGCCACGGGGCCAGCCCCUCAUUGUGGUUUUCAUUUGCAUUUCCCUAAUAAUUAGUGAUGUUGAACAUCUUUCCAUGUGCCAUCUCGUGUUUACCGUGUCUCUGGUUGGCAUCAUUUUCUCUUGUGCUUGAUUUAAUCUCGAAGACACUGAUGCCAUUCUGGAAGGAUUACAACAUCUACGACUCCAUCAAUUAGCUUGCUUGGGCUUAGGGUGAUGUCACCAAGAAGUGUACUAAUAGUAUCUGGAGGAAGACACUCAAGAGGUUUGUCCAUGACUUCCAAGGAUUUCCCAAGGAUGAAGAGGUUGCAGAAAUCUACAAAGCUAUGGUUGAGAUGGCAAACAACUUUAACCUGGAUGUGAAUGAGGAUGAUAUUGAGGAACUCCUCGAUGUGAUUCCUGAGUAAUUGACUAAUGAGCAGUUAUUAGAAUUGGAACAGAAUGCGUAGGUGAAGAAGAGGCAAGAGAAAAGGAAACUGGAGGGGAAGAAAAAGAAGAACCCUCUGGAAAAUUCACACUAAAGAGUUUAGCAGAAGCUUUUGCAGACCUCAACAAGCUCCUUAAAACGUUUGAAAACGUGGAUCCCAAAACCAAAAGCUUUCCAUUAAUAGAGAGGAAUGUUCAAGGUGCAUUAUCUUCUUUCAAGCAAAUCUAAGAGGAAAAAAGACAAAUCAAGCAAACCGCCAUGGACAUGUUUCUGAAAAGCGUGAUGCCUCCUCCAGAAGAGCCUCCAGGCAGGUCCUUCAGGAGGUGUUCCAGAAGAAGGCAUUGUCACGUAGAGGAUGACGGCUCCAUGCGUGUUAUUGCCUUUGAAGAACUUCCAGGGGGACAAGAUGUGGUGGUGGAGGACAGUGGUAUUG